rnacentral:lncRNA from 1 species
GUGGCCUAGCUGGAUUGACACAGUUUUAUCACCUGUGGUCACUCUGACUGGCUUCAACAUCUACCCAGUCCACGUCACACAAGGCUUAGUGUGCGUAGUCGUUGGAGAAAAGCAUGAUGUGUAUUAAAAAGACCAGAAACCACGUGGUUAUACAGACUGCUGUGGAACUUCAGAAAGGUUGUCAGAUUAUGGAGUGGAUUUUUUCAAAGGAGUGAAUGGAUUAUGUCAAUAGGUCUGUACUAAGGAGUGAAUGGAUUAUGUCAAUAGGUCUGUACUAAGGAGUGAAUGGAUUAUGUCAAUAGGUCUGUACUAAGGAAUGAAUGGAUUAUGUCAAUAGGUCUGUACUAAGGAGUGAAUGGAUUAUGUCAAUAGGUCUGUACUAAGGAGUGAAUGGAUUAUGUCAAUAGGUCUGUACUAAGGAAUGAAUGGAUUAUGUCAAUAGGUCUGUACUAAGGAGUGUUUUAUUGCACAUUAUACUAGAUGUCUAGGGCCUAUUGAGCAAUGGCUUUAAUGUAUAGAUUUAAAUGAAUGGAUUGAAUGUGUAGCCACGGAGGCACUUAGGCAGCACUCUAUGAAACACAUGGCAUCAAUAAUAAAGUUCUCUGUUAACCUCCUCUUCUCAGCUAAUACUGUGAGACUGAAUGUCUCUGCUCCAUUCCCCGGCUCAGCCCCGUGCGUGUGCGUGUGCGUGUGUGUGUGUGUGUGUGUGUGUGUGUGUGUGUGUGUAUUACAAGCACAAAGCUCAAAUGGAGGAUGGCUUUCUUUGUGUGUUGUUCACACUAGGCCUGAUGCUGGGAAAAUGUUGCCAUUUUGAAGUUCACACUAGGCCUGAUGCUGGGAAAAUGCUGCCAUUUUGAAGUUCACACUAGGCCUGAUGCUGGGAAAAUGCUGCCAUUUUGGUUUGGUCUGAGUUUUUUGUCAGUGCUCAGUGGCUGGGUGUCGAUAGGGGUGUCGUGGCCUGUCCUCCCCACUCCAUAACAACCUUCCUGCCGCAGCAUCCCCCACACACACACACACACACAAUGACUGUAAUCAACCGCAUCAAACACAUCCUGUCACAGGGACGGUGUGUUUCAACGUGAAAGAGAGACGGUGUGUGUGUGGCUUUUUUUUUUUGCUUGUGCUCUUCUAACUAUUCUU